UCCUGAGCUUAGAGUUUGAUCCUGGCUCAGAUUGAACGCUGGCGGAAUGCUUUACACAUGCAAGUCGGGCGGCAGCAUGGACUUCGGUCUGAUGGCGAGCGGCGAACGGGUGAGUAACAUAUAGGAACAUACCCAGUAAUGGGGGAUAACGCCGAGAAAUCGGUGCUAAUACCGCAUACGCCCUGAGGGGGAAAGCGGGGGAUCUUCGGACCUCGCGUUACUGGAUUGGCCUAUAUCUGAUUAGCUAGUUGGUGAGGUAAAGGCUCACCAAGGCGACGAUCAGUAGCUGGUCUGAGAGGAUGAUCAGCCACACUGGAACUGAGACACGGUCCAGACUCCUACGGGAGGCAGCAGUGGGGAAUUUUGGACAAUGGGCGAAAGCCUGAUCCAGCCAUUCCGCGUGAGUGAAGAAGGCCUUCGGGUUGUAAAGCUCUUUCGGCAGGAAAGAAAUCGUCACUCUUAAUACGGGUGAUGGAUGACGGUACCUGAAGAAGAAGCACCGGCUAACUACGUGCCAGCAGCCGCGGUAAUACGUAGGGUGCGAGCGUUAAUCGGAAUUACUGGGCGUAAAGCGUGCGCAGGCGGUUUUGUAAGUCAGAUGUGAAAGCCCCGGGCUCAACCUGGGAAUGGCGUUCGAAACUGCAAGGCUAGAGUGUGUCAGAGGGGGGUAGAAUUCCACGUGUAGCAGUGAAAUGCGUAGAGAUGUGGAGGAAUACCGAUGGCGAAGGCAGCCCCCUGGGAUAACACUGACGCUCAUGCA
rnacentral:rRNA from 1 species